rnacentral:rRNA from 1 species
GACGAACAGAGCGAACGUUGUUCGGAAUCACUGGGCUUAAAGGGCGCGUAGGCGGGUGCUCAAGUCUGUGGUGAAAUCCUCCGGCUCAACCGGAGAACUGCCAUGGAUACUGGGUGCCUCGAGGGUGGUAGGGGUAUGCGGAACUAUCGGUGGAGCGGUGAAAUGCGUUGAUAUCGAUAGGAACUCCGGUGGCGAAGGCGGCAUACUGGACCACUUCUGACGCUGAGGCGCGAAAGCCAGGGGAGCGAACGGG